rnacentral:rRNA from 1 species
GAUGAACGCUAGCGAUAGGCUUAACACAUGCAAGUCGAGGGGCAGCACAAGGUAGCUUGCUAUCUGGGUGGCGACCGGCGCACGGGUGCGUAACGCGUAUGCAACUUGCCCUAUACAGGAGGAUAACCCGUCGAAAGACGGACUAAUACUGCGUAUGCUCACAACUUGGCAUCAAGUGGUGAGGAAAGAAAUUCGGUAUAGGAUAGGCAUGCGUCCCAUUAGCUUGUUGGUGAGGUAACGGCUCACCAAGGCAACGAUGGGUAGGGGAACUGAGAGGUUUAUCCCCCACACUGGUACUGAGACACGGACCAGACUCCUACGGGAGGCAGCAGUGAGGAAUAUUGGUCAAUGGGCGCGAGCCUGAACCAGCCAAGUCGCGUGAAGGAUGACUGUCUUAUGGAUUGUAAACUUCUUCUAUACGGGAAUAACAAGAGUCACGUGUGACUCCCUGCAUGUACCGUAUGAAUAAGCAGCGGCUAACUCCGUG